rnacentral:antisense_RNA from 1 species
CAUGAACCCCAGGAGGCAAGGAUGACAGGAGCCAUCUUGAAGGCUGGCGACCACAGAUCCACACCUAACUCCAAACCACCAAAUUACUCGGAGUGUGUGUGGGCCUGCCCACAGUGCGGUGAGCCCAUGUGACUAGACCCCGGACGAUGGACUAAGAGGGAAGAGGACGUGCCUAAGUUCCGGGCUGAGGCCUUAAGAACCCAUGCACUCUUCUCCUGUUACUUUUCCCUGUGGCAACAAGCAAGGAGUCCUCAUUCCAGGGAGUGUGACCGCAUCGUGGUGCUACUUCCCUUC